UACGGAGGAUGCAAGCGUUAUCCGGAUUUAUUGGGCGUAAAGCGUCCGCAGGUGGUUAUGCAAGUCUGCUGUCAAAGCGCGAGGCUUAACUUCGUAAAGGCAGUGGAAACUGUGUGACUAGAGGAUGGUAGGGGCGGACGGAACUUCCGGUGGAGCGGUGAAAUGCGUUGAUAUCGGAAGGAACGCCGGUGGCGAAAGCGGUCCGCUGGCCCUCUACUGACGCUGAGGGACGAAAGCUAGGGGAGCGAAUGGG
rnacentral:rRNA from 1 species